UUAAUAAUCACUCCUAUUCUCUUUGGUCUCUCACGGUUGAAUCAAACUCACUCGAUAUAUUAUCGCUAAGUCUAUUACUUGCUGAUAACAGAAACUCUGUCAAAAUAUAGUUCAAAAUAUAGUUUGCUAGCCUCCACCACCAACUUGGCUGAAACAUUUUCAUCCUGCAUUUCGAAAAGUAAGUAUCAAUCAUUGUCGGCAUGCACAAAGCAAGUCCAAAAAAUAUAAUCAUUUCGAACGAAUAAAUUACCUGGUCCCUCGUAUUCAAGGACUGUCCCAGUUGAUCAAUCUUGCCGGCAAAUGAUAAUGCCAGAGACUCGUCACUCUUUCCUGUUAUCAGCAAGUAAUAGAAUAAUAUAUCGGGUGAGUUUGAUUCAUCCCUGAGAGACCGAAGAGAAUAGGAGUGAUUAUUAAUCUUACUUGAAUGGUCAUAUUGCUCAACCAGUCGGUCCCUUUCCUCUGUCAAUUUGGAGAAAGUAUCUAUGCAAGUAGACGAAUGGUAUGAGGCGAAAGUAAUCGGACAAGCCAAAAACAAUCUACUGGUAAAUAUUCAAUUUUUCAACUAUUCUCAAAUUGCACAUCACAGUGAACAUAUGCGUAGAAGCAUGGUACCAUUGAAAGCCUGGUCAUGAGAAGCUUUGCACUUGACAAGUUCCUCAAAAAGUUGGUCCGCAUUCGCCUUCUCCUCGGCUAAUUUCUGUUCGCACUGCAUAUUAUGGACACAUCAGAUAAAAUCCUCACUGAGAAUCACUCCGUAAUAAAAUAUGAUGGUUUUACUCCUUUACCUCUCAAUUACUUGACACAAUCUAUGCAUCCCGGAUCAUGCCAUAGUACCUCGAAAAACAAAUGAGCGGUUGAGAUGCAAUUCUAGUGAUGUGCGUGAUUUCAAGAGACCCUAAUCGUUUUUUCGAUAAAGACAAUUCUUUGAAAUGCUUUGCGAGGCCAGAAAGUAUGGUACCUCAAAGGCUCUAAGUUGUUAUGAUCCUAAAAUGUACGAGUAUUCCUCCUGUGCGGGAUUUUCGAAAGCCAUGUUCCUGGGCGAUUAAGGGGUAACGGAACGGAAGAAUACCUCCCUGAUUUUAUUCAGAAGCGGGUCAUCCAACAAUUGGUUUUUUGAUGACUGGACGAUAAUUUGCUGCAAAUCGAGACGGUCAGGCAGUCAUUCGAAUUGGUUUUAUUGGUCCUGGUGCAAUGGGAUUGGGCAUGGCAACUCGCUUACUUAAGUCGAGUUACCGCAUUACCGGAUUGGAUGUAAUUUCUCUCCUCUAGCUUUCUCCACCGGUGGUUUGCUAGCUCAGAGCAGACAUUAGGCUGUUGAAUAUGUUACCGUCAUCUUAUAUUAGCUCUCGAUGCAUCUGUUUCUAUCCACAUGCACUGAUUUUAUCUUUUCAAAUUGCGUCUCCGAAAUAUCCUUAUCGUGAGAAUGAGAACUGUAAGGUUAUGGGGCCAUCAUCGAGUAUCCUCGAUGAUAGUAUACAACAGAAAUGCGGUGCUGUAAUUUUAGGAGUUAUUAGGGAAAAGUAAAUAUUUUGUCCACAAAGGCGUGAUUUCUUCAAUAUAAAUAUAAUAAUCUGUGUCUAUCAUAGGGAUUUUUAGAAGAUAAACGUGGAUCUAUCAAUCGCAUGUGUAUUAAUGCUCUCGAGGACUAUGUUUCCAUAUGCAUAAGUUGAUGUAUGUUGUUGUGCAUAGAUAAACAUUCCAGGCCAUCAUUUUGUUUUGGCCCAUGAAUAAUCUGGGGAUCUGGUAUGCUAUUUUCGGACGUUAACUAGGAGUACCUUUAUCUAUUGCGGGGCAGGUCUAUGAACCAACUCUUGUUCGGUUGGCAAAUGCAGGUGGCUUGGUUGGCAACUCUCUAGCAGAAGCAUCUAAGAUGUUGACCUACUCGUGAUCACGGUCACGAAUGAAGCUCCAGAAGAAAGUGUCCUUAUGUAGAUGUAGGUGCAAUUCCAGGGCUUCCAUCUGGUGCAUCCAUAAUUCUGUCAUGGACUGUUUCUCCUGGAUUCAUGACUCAGCUGGAACGAUGAUCGCAAAGUGAUGGCAAAGACCUGAAAUUGGUGGAUGCCGCUGUUUACGGUGGUGUCAAAAGAGCUGCUAAGGGAACACUUACGCUGAUGGCUUCCGGUAGUGAUGCUGCUCUUAAAAACGCUGGUUCAGCUCUCUCUGGUAUUUGGUAUUUUGUUCCAAUUACCAGAUGGGGAGGUUCAUAUCUCUGACUUGGAAAGGUUUCUAGACGAGUAAUACGUGCUGCUUUUCUGAUAUUGGCAUUAAGCGAAAAGCUUUAUAUUAUCAAAGGAGGUUGUGGGGCUGGAAGGAUGUUUAAAAAUCGCCUUCCACACAUGCUGGAUAAUGAUUACGCACCAUAGUCGGCACUCGAUAUAUUUGUGCAGGAUCCGGUACGGGAAAAGUGUCUUGCUCUUUGCAUUCUUUUGAAGAAUUGUGAAAUGCUAUACAGACACUUGUAAUUUCUCCAGGGCAUUGUUUCCCGUGAAUGUUCAUCACGAAAAGUUCCUCCUCACAUUGCAACCGUUGCACACCAACUCUUCCUGGCAGGUUCUGCUGCUGGACGGGGCCGGCAAGAUGAUGCUGGUGUAGUAAAGGUGGUGCAUAUCUUAUCUUUGAGCUCAGGGUGGAGUCACCUCGUCAGAUCUUGCUACAAAGGCCCUGGAGGCAAAGUGUGCGAAAAUAGUUGGACAACCUCUAGCCGGCAUUCCUCUAUGGCAAUAGGUCCUGAAAGUAGACAUCCAGGAGUUCCAUACACUGUAUUCCCAGGUAAUGUUGGCAGCAGUACAGCGCUGGCUGAACUCGUAAAAUCGUGGGCUCCUGCAAUCAGACUUUCCCCAAGAAAAGAGCUUCUGCGGUUCAGGAUCAUCGAGAUUGGUGUUUUUAAUGGGAUUAAACCUGUAUGAUAGUACAAGGGUUUCGCGUUAUUAAUAGAAUGCGGAAGGAGGUUCUUCUGUCUGUGCAUUUAAUGUUUAUAACUCGGAAGGAGUUGAAGCAGUCGUUGCUGCGGCACAGCAAGAACAGAGUCCUGCUAUAUUACAGGUCCAUCGUGCUGCCUUUAAACAAGGAGAGAUUCCCCUAGUUGCCUGUUGCAUCUCGGCUGCAGAACAGGCUAAUGUUCCGGUCACAGUUCAUUUUGAUCGUGGAACUUCCAAGGAAGAUCUCUCAGGAGCCAUUAAUUUGGUAUAUAACUCUCAACAUUUGCUGUAUUGGCUGGCAUAGGAGGUGAUGCAGUUUGGUGUCGCGAGCUGCAGCCUAUUCUCUUGAAGGAAAGAUAGGUCGAUUAAUUCUCUGUUCACGCCGUCUGUCAUUUGAAUUUUUCCCGGGAUUUCAUUCAAUAAUGGCAGAUGGUUC